rnacentral:rRNA from 1 species
GCAAGUCGAGGGGUAACGGAAGUAGCUUGCUAAUUUGCUGACGAGCGGCGGACGGGUGAGUAAUGCCUAGGGAACUGCCCAGUCGAGGGGGAUAACAGUUGGAAACGACUGCUAAUACCGCAUACGCCCUACGGGGGAAAGGAGGGGACCUUCGGGCCUUUCGCGAUUGGAUGAACCUAGGUGGGAUUAGCUAGUAGGUGGGGUAAUGGCUCACCUAGGCAACGAUCCCUAGCUGGUCUGAGAGGAUGAUC